rnacentral:rRNA from 1 species
GAUGAACGCUGGCGGCGUGCUUAACACAUGCAAGUCGAACGGAAAGGCUCCUGCUUGCAGGGGUACUCGAGUGGCGAACGGGUGAGUAACACGUGGGUGAUCUGCCCUGCACUUCGGGAUAAGCAUGGGAAACUGGGUCUAAUACCGGAUAGGACGAUGGUUUGGAUGCCAUUGUGGAAAGUUUUUUCGGUGUGGGAUGAGCUCGCGGCCUAUCAGCUUGUUGGUGGGGUAAUGGCCUACCAAGGCGUCGACGGGUAGCCGGCCUGAGAGGGUGUACGGCCACAUUGGGAUUGAGAUACGGCCCAGACUCCUACGGGAGGCAGCAGUGGGGAAUAUUGCACAAUGGGCGCAAGCCUGAUGCAGCGACGCCGCGUGGGGGAUGACGGCCUUCGGGUUGUAAACUCCUUUCGCUAGGGACGAAGCGCAAGUGACGGUACCUGGAGAAGAAGCACCGGCUAACUACGUG